rnacentral:rRNA from 1 species
UACGUAGGGUGCAAGCGUUGUCCGGAAUUAUUGGGCGUAAAGAGCUCGUAGGCGGUUUGUCACGUCGGAUGUGAAACCCUGAGGCUCAACCUCAGGCCUGCAUUCGAUACGGGCAGACUAGAAUUCGGCAGGGGAGACUGGAAUUCCUGGUGUAGCGGUGAAAUGCGCAGAUAUCGGGAGGAACACCUAUGGCGAAGGCAGCUCGCUGGGACGUUACUGACGCUGAGACGCGAAAGCGUGGGGAGCAAACAGG